UCUGGCCUUCGGGCCCGAGUUGUAAUCUGCAGAUGAGUCUUUGGGUAAGGUGCCGUCCAAGUUCCCUGGAAUGGGACGCCAUAGAGGGUGAGAGCCCCGUACCGACGUGCGCCGCGCCUGUUUAAAGCUCAUUCGAAGAGUCGAGUAGUUUGGAAAUGCUGCUCUAAUUGUGGGGUAAAUCUCCCAUAAGGCUAAAUACCGGCCAGAGACCGAUAGCGCACAAGUAGCGUGAGCGAAAGAUGAAAAGAGCCUUGAAUAAGGGUGUCAAAAAGUAUGUGAAAUUGUUAUGGGGGAAGCGCUUGGUGCCAGACGUGGUGGCGGUUGGUUACCCGGUGUUCUUCGCCGGCGCACUCUUCCGCCUCCAGGCCAGCAUCGGUUCGGCUCGGGGCUUACUGCAGCGAGGAACGUGGCCCUUCGGGGUGUUAUAGCCUCACUGCGACGUCCCGGACCGGACCGAGGUUCGCGCAUCUGCUCGGAUGCUGGCGUAAUGGCCCCCAGCGACCCGUCUU
rnacentral:rRNA from 1 species